UACGAAGGGGGCGAGCGUUGUUCGGAUUUACUGGGCGUAAAGGGCGCGCAGGCGGCCAUUCAAGUCAGGCGUGAAAGCCCCGGGCUUAACCUGGGAGGUGCGCUUGGGACUGGGUGGCUAGAGAUCGGGAGAGGAGAGUGGAAUUCCCAGUGUAGAGGUGAAAUUCGUAGAUAUUGGGAAGAACACCGAUGGCGAAGGCAGCCAUCUGGACCGACACUGACGCUGAGGCGCGAAAGCGUGGGGAGCGAACAGG
rnacentral:rRNA from 1 species